rnacentral:lncRNA from 1 species
CUGUCUUGACAUCAUUGGCAGACAUUACUUUAGGAAAACCUCAGGAAAACCAUUAUUUCAUUAUACUAGAGUAAGAUUUUCUGUCUUUAGCAGUGACUUUUUUUAACUCCUUGUCAGUCAAAAUGCCCUAAACAAAUGAUAUAAAAAUAUUAUUGGAAAUAUUAUUUGUGAAACUUUUUCUUAUGAUUUUUCAAAAAUGUAUUCACUAAUGUAGAGUGCUUUAUAGAGUAGCAAAGCAGUCUUUGACUAGAAUGAAGUUAACCAAAUCUGUCUAGCAACACUCAAUUUGUAAGAAACAUUUAAGAUAGUUAUUCUUUUAAUUUUAGUUUUAAUGUGAGUUACAGGAGCAUAUUGUAAUAAUAAAAAUAUUCUUUAAAUCAUGUUUAGGUUAUUUAUUGGCAGGUUCUACUUAU